AGCCGUGUAGUGAGCACAGAGCGAACUAUUCUUUCGCCUUUUACUAAAGAAUACCGUGUGCUCGCUGCUUAAAACGGCAUACAUCUAUUUUUGGGAGGGGCAUUCCCUUGAAUGCC
rnacentral:snRNA from 1 species